UAACAAGGAUUCCCCUAGUAACUGCGAGUGAAGCGGGAUGAGCUCAAAUUUGUAAUCUGGCAGUCUUUUGGCUGUCCGAGUUGUAGUCUGGAGAAGUGUCUUCUGUGCCGGACCGUGUACAAGUCCCUUGGAACGGGGCGUCGUAGAGGGUGAGAAUCCCGUCUUUGACACGGACCACCGGUGCUAUGUGAUGCGCUCUCGAAGAGUCGAGUUGUUUGGGAAUGCAGCUCAAAUCGGGUGGUAAAUUCCAUCUAAAGCUAAAUAUUGGCGAAAGACCGAUAGCGAACAAGUACCGUGAGGGAAAGAUGAAAAGCACUUUGGAAAGAGAGUCAAACAGUACGUGAAAUUGUUGAAAGGGAAACGCUUGAAGUCAGUCGCGUCUGCCGGGACUCAGUCGGGUUUCUUGCCUGAUGUAUUUUCCGGUGUCGGACGGGCCAGCAUCGAUUUCAAUCGUCGGAGAAAGGCCUGGGGAAUGUGGCACCCUUUCGGGGGUGUGUUAUAGCCCGGGGUCAUAUGUGACGGUCGAGAUCGAGGAUUGCAGCAUGCCCCCCUUUCUAGUGGGGGCCGGGGUUCGCCCACGUAACAUGCUUGGGAUGCUGGCGUAAUGGCUUUAAACGACCCGUCUUGAAAC
rnacentral:rRNA from 1 species